UACGUAGGUGGCGAGCGUUGUCCGGAAUUACUGGGUGUAAAGGGCGUGUAGGCGGGAUUGUAAGUCAGAUGUGAAAUUCCAAGGCUUAACCUUGGCGCUGCAUCUGAAACUAUGGUUCUUGAGUGCUGGAGAGGAAAGCGGAAUUCCUAGUGUAGCGGUGAAAUGCGUAGAUAUUAGGAGGAACACCAGUGGCGAAAGCGGCUUUCUGGACAGUAACUGACGCUGAGGCGCGAAAGCGUGGGGAGCAAACAGG
rnacentral:rRNA from 1 species